rnacentral:rRNA from 1 species
ACGCCUUAUACAUGCAAGUCGAACGAAGUAGCAAUACUUAGUGGCAGACGGGUGAGUAACAUGUAGGUAUCUUCCCUUUGGUGAGGAAUAACACGAGGAAACUUGUGCUAAUACCUCAUAAGUCUUUACGGAGAAAGCUUUAUGCGCCGAAGGAUGAGCCUGCACUUGAUUAGUUUGUUGGUGGGGUAAUGGCCUACCAAGACUUUGAUCAAUAGCUGAUCUGAGAGGAUGAUCAGCCACAUUGGGACUGAGACACGGCCCAAACUCCUACGGGAGGCAGCAGUAGGGAAUAUUGCACAAUGGAGGAAACUCUGAUGCAGCGAUGCCGCGUGAGUGAAGAAGGCCUUUGGGUUGUAAAGCUCUUUCGUCGGGGAAGAAAAUGACUGUACCCGAAUAAGAAGGUCCGGCUAACUUCGUGCCAGCAGCCGCGGUAAUACGAAGGGACCUAGCGUAGUUCGGAAUUACUGGGCUUAAAGAGUUCGUAGGUGGUUAAAAAAGUUGGUGGUGAAAUCCCAGAGCUUAACUCUGGAACUGCCAUCAAAACUUUUUAGCUAGAGUAUGAUAGAGGAAAGCAGAAUUUCUAGUGUAGAGGUGAAAUUCGUAGAUAUUAGAAAGAAUACCAAUUGCGAAGGCAGCUUUCUGGAUCAUUACUGACACUGAGGAACGAAAGCAUGGGUAGCGAAGAGGAUUAGAUACCCUCGUAGUCCAUGCCGUAAACGAUGUGUGUUAGACGUUGGAAAUUUAUUUUCAGUGUCGCAGCGAAAGCAUUAAACACACCGCCUGGGGAGUACGA